rnacentral:rRNA from 1 species
GAGUCGGGCCUGCUCGGUGAAUAAGUUUUUAACAGCUGCGGUAUUUUAACUGUACUAAGGUAGCAUAAUAAUUUGCCUUAUAAUUUGAGGCUAGAAUGAAUGGUUUGACGAAGGUUAAUCUGUCUCCGCUUUAUUUUUUAGAAUUUAAUUUUUAAAGUGAAAAAGCUUAAAUUUUUUAAAGGGACGAGAAGACCCUAAUGAGCUUAUAAUUUUAUUAUUGUUGUGCAAAACAUUUGGUCAAUAAUAUAUAAAUUUUAAUUGGGGUGAUUGAGGAAUAAAUUAGAUAAACUAACUUCCUUAAAUUAAAUAUUUAUAGAUAAAGUAACCAAUAUAAUAUUGCUUAUAAUAUAGUUACCAUAGGGAUAACAGCGUAAUUUGUUUAGAGAGUUCUUAUUGAAAAACGAGAUUGCGACCUCGAUGUUGGAUUAAAGUAACCUUAAGGUGCAGAAGCUUUAGUAAGGUAAAUCUGUUCGAUUUUUAAUACUUUACGUGAUCUG